GUCGACUAGCCCUUUGGGUUCUCGGCACGUCAUUAGUGUAAAAAAACAUAGAAGUAGGUCACGUGUCUGUCACGACACACCCACCAUAAAUACACAAACCUUCUUCUCUCGUCUCUGUCCUCCUCUCUUUUUGCACACUGCUCGGUGAAAAAUAGUACUAUUAUACUACGGUCCAUUGUCAAAAAAAAGAAGGUAUAUAUAACAGAGAGAGGGAUAGUGGAAACGUUUUCUAUUAUUUUUUUUGUUGGAGUCUUCGUCCCUUUUUUUGAUCAAUAGUUGCGAGGUUUAGUGGUGAAUCUUAGACAUGGCAGCCGCGAAGCUCGUGGUGGCUUUGUUACUUAUUGCAUUGGUUUUCACCACCACCACCACCACCACCACCACUGUCUUCUCCAUUGACGAGCCGGAGACUAUUGACGCCGACGGCUCCUCCAAGAUCCAGCUGGAUCAGCUUAACGCCAAGAUCAUUGUUUUUCCCAAAAAAUUAAACUUCAGGAAGAAAUACUGAGGACAAAGCAUGAAGCAACCUCGAAGAGUCUUCGACGAAGACUGAGGAACUCCUUGAGGCUCAUGGUUCGUGGCUUCCCCCUUGGCUUGCCGUUCACUGGAUUAGUUUUCAGGCUUAUACCGAGAUACAUUGGGAGGCUCACGGGAAACCUGCUCUGGAUACAGUAAUUCUAAAGGUGGCGGAAGCAAAGACUCAAGCUGUGAAGUGGGCCGAACCACAUGUGCAAAACGUUAAAACUAAAUAUAUUCCAGCCAUCACGGAGACUGUCGCUACACAUGUCGAGCCACACGUCCGAACACUAUCAAUCAAAGCAAAAGAGGCUUACCAGAUGCAUCCAAGACAGCUGUUUCCCCUCCCAUUGUCACGGUUCAAGAACUUGUAGACCCUUAUUAUCAGGUAUAGUGUCUUUAUCAGUUUUAUAUUCUUUCAACCGUAGGUCCACUACACACUUUUUCAGCAUUUAUGAUUGUAAACUUAUAGCAUUUAUUGGAUCUGUUAGGUUCACUUCUCUUGUAAGUGCAGUCUCGUUGUUUUGCAAUUUAUAAUUAGCUUUUGGUUCAUCUGUUUAGUUUGUGUGCGGUUAACUCGUAUUUGUAAGGCUCGUUUUAUUCAUCUCAUUGCUUGAAGCAAACAGAUGCAGA